CCUGGGGAGUACGGUCGCAAGAUUAAAACUCAAAGGAAUUGACGGGGGCCCGCACAAGCAGCGGAGCAUGUGGUUUAAUUCGAAGCAACGCGAAGAACCUUACCUAGACUUGACAUCUCCUGCAUUACCCUUAAUCGGGGAAGUUCCUUCGGGAACAGGAAGACAGGUGGUGCAUGGUUGUCGUCAGCUCGUGUCGUGAGAUGUUGGGUUAAGUCCCGCAACGAGCGCAACCCUUAUUGUUAGUUGCUACCAUUUAGUUGAGCACUCUAGCGAGACUGCCCGGGUUAACCGGGAGGAAGGUGGGGAUGACGUCAAAUCAUCAUGCCCCUUAUGUCUAGGGCUACACACGUGCUACAAUGGCAAGUACAAAGAGAAGCAAUACCGCGAGGUGGAGCAAAACUCAAAAACUUGUCUCAGUUCGGAUUGUAGGCUGAAACUCGCCUACAUGAAGCUGGAGUUGCUAGUAAU
rnacentral:rRNA from 1 species